rnacentral:rRNA from 1 species
CAUGCAAGUCGAACGGAAGUUUAAGCAAUUAAACUUUAGUGGCGAACGGGUGAGUAACGCGUAAGCAAUCUGCCCCUAAGACGAGGAUAACAGUUGGAAACGACUGCUAAGACUGGAUAGGAGACAAGAAGGCAUCUUCUUGUUUUUAGAAGACCUAGCAAUAGGUAUGCUUAGGGAGGAGCUUGCGUCACAUUAGUUAGUUGGUGGGGUAAAGGCCUACCAAGACUAUGAUGUGUAGCCGGGCUGAGAGGUUGAACGGCCACAUUGGGACUGAGACACGGCCCAAACUCCUACGGGAGGCAGCAGUAGGGAAUUUUCGGCAAUGGAGGAAACUCUGACCGAGCAACGCCGCGUGAACGAUGAAGUAUUUCGGUACGUAAAGUUCUUUUAUUAGGGAAGAAUAAAUGAUGGAAAAAUCAUUCUGACGGUACCUAAUGAAUAAGCCCCGGCUAACUAUGUGCCAGCAGCCGCGGUAAUACAUAGGGGGCAAGCGUUAUCCGGAAUUAUUGGGCGUAAAGGGUGCGUAGGCGGUUAAAUAAGUUUAUGGUCUAAGUGCAAUGCUCAACAUUGUGAUGCUAUAAAAACUGUUUAGCUAGAGUAAGAUAGAGGCAAGUGGAAUUCCAUGUGUAGUGGUAAAAUGCGUAAAUAUAUGGAGGAACACCAGUAGCGAAGGCGGCUUGCUGGGUCUUUACUGACGCUGAGGCACGAAAGCGUGGGGAGCAAACAGGAUUAGAUACCCUGGUAGUCCACGCCGUAAACGAUGAGUACUAAACGUUGGGUAAAACCAGUGUUGAAGUUAACACAUUAAGUACUCCGCCUGAGUAGUACGUACGCAAGUAUGAAACUUAAAGGAAUUGACGGGACUCCGCACAAGCGGUGGAUCAUGUUGUUUAAUUCGAAGGUACCCGAAAAACCUCACCAGGUCUUGACAUGCUUCUGCAAAGCUGUAGAAACACAGUGGAGGUUAUCAGUUGCACAGGUGGUGCAUGGUUGUCGUCAGCUCGUGUCGUGAGAUGUUGGGUUAAGUCCCGCAACGAGCGCAACCCUUAUUGUUAGUUACCAGCACGUAAUGGUGGGGACUUUAGCAAGACUGCCAGUGAUAAAUUGGAGGAAGGUGGGGACGACGUCAAAUCAUCAUGCCCCUUAUGACCUGGGCUACAAACGUGAUACAAUGGCUGUUACAAAGGGUAGCUGAAGCGCAAGUUUUUGGCGAAUCUCAAAAAAACAGUCUCAGUUCGGAUUGAAGUCUGCAACUCGACUUCAUGAAGUUGGAAUCGCUAGUAAUCGCGAAUCAGCAUGUCGCGGUGAAUACGUUCUCGGGGUUUGUACACACCGCCCGUCAAACCACGAAAGUUGGCAAUACCCAAAGCCGGUGGCCUAACUUCGCAAGAAGAGGGAACCGUCUAAGGUAGGGUCGAUGAUUGGGGUUAAG